GCUCCCAUAGUUCAGUGGAUAGAAUUUUUCCUUGCGGAGGAAAAGACCGGAGUUCGAAUCUUCGUGGGGGCA
rnacentral:tRNA from 1 species